rnacentral:lncRNA from 1 species
CUCAGUAACAAAGAAGAUUCAAGAUGAUGCAGGCUAGUGCACUUCAAAAUUCAGCGAGUGAAUUCUGAUCCAGGGGACCUGAGAGGAGACCUGAGAUUCUGCUCUUAUAACCACCAGCUUGAGGUGGAGUUGAAACUACCAGUCCUGGGCCACACAGCAAGGCUGAAGGUCACGGCAGUCACGAAUUCAAGCACUGAGAAGCUCCAGUCCAGAUCCAUCCUGUUGAUUAUGUAUCUCCUAAAAUGUUGUCCUACAUACUGUAGGUAUUAAAAAGUAAGUGUUGACACAUGAGUAAACAAAGGUUUAGU